rnacentral:rRNA from 1 species
GACGAACGCUGGCGGCGUGCCUAAUACAUGCAAGUUGAGCGCUGAAGGUUGGUACUUGUACCGACUGGAUGAGCAGCGAACGGGUGAGUAACGCGUGGGGAAUCUGCCUUUGAGCGGGGGACAACAUUUGGAAACGAAUGCUAAUACCGCAUAAAAACUUUAAACACAAGUUUUAAGUUUGAAAGAUGCAAUUGCAUCACUCAAAGAUGAUCCCGCGUUGUAUUAGCUAGUUGGUGAGGUAAAGGCUCACCAAGGCGAUGAUACAUAGCCGACCUGAGAGGGGGGGCGGCCACUUGGGGAAGGAGAACCGCCCCAACCCCCGCGGGGGGGCGACAGGGGGGAUUCUUCGAAAAGGGACGAAAGUCUGACGGCGCAACGCCGCGGGAGUGAAGAAGGUUUGGGGGUAGAAAACCUCUUUUGGUGGAAAAAAACGUGGGUGGGGGUGAAAAGCCCAGAAAGUGAGGGAAACAACCAAGAAAGGGCCGCCUACCUACGC